rfam:Sus scrofa chromosome 8.
UCCCUGGUGGUCUAGGGGUUAGGACUCAGCACUUUCACUGCUGUGGCCCAGAUUCAAUCCCUGGUCUGGGAA